GUUGGUGACAUAUUAGGACAUGAGGGUAUCACACAGAGAUGGAAAGAGACCUGUUUUUUCCCCUGCAGAGGAGGGCAGGAUGUGUUCCA